rnacentral:tRNA from 1 species
GAUGAUGUACUAAACUGCUAACUUAGUAGCCCAACUAUAAUACGCUGGCAUCCUC